CUCCUAGACAAACAUGUAUAGAAAUCCCAGCACUGGAGAGUUGAUGAGAAAGUGGGCAGAUCGGCUCUAUUCACAGCUGGGGGAAACUGACCACUUUAACAAAAGGAAGAAUGCUCAGGUAACAUCUAGCCCAAAGGUCGCUCAGGAAUGUUCAAAGCACUCAGGAGAGAGUGAAGUAUCCCAUCUUUGGGACACACAAGUCCCACUCAGCAUCCAUUGAAAGCGCAGCACCAAAAGCAUUGAGAUGGUGGCAGGACCUCAUUUUCCCUCUUCUCUAUUCCCUUACUCUUUCUCCAGCACAGAAGAAGCCUUGAUCUGCUUAGAAGCACUCCCCAGCAUCUGAACCAUCUCUUCCAAGCUAUUCCCCCAGAAGACAGGAAGACUGGGCGGUUUCCUCUGUAACAGCUCCCAGAACUGCAGCUUCCAGUGGUUUCUCCCCACCAUUGCCCCUCUUGGUUUGCUGGAAGAGCCUCCAAGACAAUGUUGAAAAGUUGGCCCUGCAGCCAGCUUCAGCAGGGCAGUCCUGCAUAGCUGCCACUUCUACCGAGGACCACCCUCUCCAGGUUCCACGCAAGCUCAUGGUGGCUGCUCCAGCCCAGCAGACCCACUUCCUGGGAGUCAUCACCCACUUGCAUCUUACUGUGGCUCUUCUUCUGUGUCCCCCAGUCAUCUGCCUACACAGAGAGAGCACAGCCACUGAAGCCUGAGACUCACGAAAGACGCCUGUGCUUUGAGGGGCUGCAGGGGGCUGCUUCCCAGGCAAACUUCAUUGCAGAAUUCUGAUGUCCCUGUCUGCUUCCCACUCAGGGAGUUAAUGGGACUCCACAACAGGACUCCCAGAAGUUCUCCCUGCCUGCAUGUGAUGAAGAGUGCUGAGUGAUAGAUUUGAAAUUGGACCCCUGACAUCAUGAAUAGCAGAAGUUAAUAUCUAAUGCAGCCAAAAUGCUGCACAGCUUCCUGGAACCCUUAGCACCAAAGACCACCAUGCACUGAGGAGCCACCUGCAGCUCUCCACACCAUGAAGUGCAUAUGUACCCCUCCUCUCCGCAUCUCGCAUGACCCAGCCCAUGGUGCUAAACUGACUGAGCAAGAAGCAUCCAGAGCCUCUUCUGCUGGACGCAUGGAACACACUCUCAAGAGAUGCAGCCCAAAAUAGGACUCUAUGGUCAAUGAAAUGGAAUGGGAAAUGCUGCACCGUGUAUCCCCUUUCUAAGGAUCCAUGAUGUUUAUUGUUGUUGUUGUUGUUAGUGAAACCUUUUAAACAACCUUCAGGAAAAUCAUCCCUGUUUUUCGCAAACUUUCUAACCUUUCCCCAUGAAGAAUUUUUUUUUUUUUUCAUGAAAUGGAAUUUCACUCUUCUCGCCCAGGCUAGAGUGCUCACUGCAACCUCUGCCUCCUGGGUUCAAGCAAUUCUCCUGCUUCAGCCUCCUCAGCAGCUGGGAUUACAGGCGCCCACCCCCACACCCGGCUAAUUUUUUUGUAUUUUUAGUAGAGACUGGGUUUCGCCAUGUUGGCCAGGCUGGUCUGGAGCUCCUGAUCUCAGGUGAUCCGCCCGUCUCAGCCACCCAAAGUGCUGAGAUUACAGGGGUGAGCCACCGUGCCCGGCACAUAGUGACAUUUUUAUUAGUGUCUUGCAGACUUGCACUCCACAAAACACACUUGGAAAAGGCUUUUCCAGAAUGGUAUAGGAUGGUGUCUGCGACCAUAGUUCUUCUGCAAAUGUAGCAGUGAACUCUGCAUGACUGUUUCUAGCACGUUUAAUUAAAGCCAAGGGCAUGAUUCUCAAAAUGCAAUCCAAGGAAGGUAAUUAUGUAAGAAAACAAAUGAAUAUCUUUCAAGAAAUUUGCCUUCUGAUGGUCUGCUAAGAUCACAGGUCUCAGAGUGCUUACAGGGGUGGAUGGGAUGUGGGACUUUGGACAGUCACCCCUAGAUGGCACUUCUCUCACCACAUAAUGUGGGUACUAAAUGGGCAACAAUUCUAGGUGAAACUCUCAGAAGAAAAACAAGAGCACCGUUAUCUUACAUUGAUAAUUGAGGAUAGGAUCCAGAUGCCUUGGAAACCAGAAAAGCAAAUGGCGCAGAUGCCAUAUGAGAAGUAUGAUCCAUCUUCCUAUCUGAAUGGUGGUCUCCACCCUCCUCAAGGAUAGGAGGCACGAAAUGGUUCGGCUGCAGCCACACCAGGCUUUGGCAAGAGGUGGAAGCCAUGUUUAGCCCUCCUGACUCUCCUCAUUGUCACCCCAUUCAGUUAUUACUCACCCUACCAACUACCCAAAGACCUCAGCUUUGCUCGAAUAUUUUGAACUGAGUUAUAGGCUGGCUGUUUUAAUAUGUCAGAAUUAUUUUAUUGCCUGUUUUGUCUUCUUUUUCACAAAUAUUUAGUGCAGAGCUUUUAGAUGCAUAUACUGCAUGCUGAUGAAGUCUGGGUUUUCAGUGUACCCAUCAUCCAAACAGUGAACAUGGUACUCAAUAGGUAAUUUUUCAGUCUUCACUCCAUUGUUUUGUUUUUAUUAAAUUGAUGGAAGUCUGAAGCCAUGAGUAAUCGGGAGCUAGAAAGGAGAGAGAAGGAAAACAGACAAAAUGUGGGUGAGGUACACCCUCCUGCACACUUGCUAUUUUUGCUUAAAACUAUUUUUUCCAGUAGUCGAACCAUAAAUAUUGGGAUGAUUAUGAUGAUGGUGGUGGCUGGGUUUUAACUGAGUUCCUGCUCUGUGCUAUGUACAUGCCUGUCUUUAGCAUGUUUUCUAAAUUCCCCUGCUGGCUCCUUCUCAUUUUUCUGACUUCUAAACACUGGAGUAUUCCACAGACCUUUUCUCUUCUCUAUCCUAAUGCAUUCCUUAUGAUCUCAUGCAGUCCCAAGAUCUAAAAAAUUACUUACAAAUUGGUGAUUCCCAACUUUAUAUCCCAGCCCCAGUCUCUCCCCUAGGCUCAGACUCUCACAUCCACC
rnacentral:lncRNA from 1 species